AUAAGAGAGCCUCUUAUUUAGCAUACCCGUUUAUGGAAUAAGAGUCCAUACGUGUCACAUACUCGUUGGCCGAAGAAAAAAAUAGAAGUAGGAAAAAAAAAUUUAGGCGACGGAUCAAAUUUUUUCUUUUUUUUUUUUCCUAUCUCUCUCUUUUUCUCUCUCGAUCGAAGUCCAGAAUUGACAAAGGAAGGAGAAGGAAUCAAACGCUAUGGAAUCAGAGGAGAUUGGGAUAGGAGAUUGGGAUCGGAGGAGAUCUAAAGCGGAGGAGAUCUGAAGCGGAGGAGAUUUCUCUUCUUCUUCUUCUCUCAAAUCCGCGGUAGAAGAAGCAUGGCUACGAAGCAGAACGAAAGCCUAAUUCUCCAUUAUAUUUGUGGACAGCUUAUCCCAGUUCCCCCAUCCAUGUGGUCUCCAUAACCCUUUCAUAAACUCGAUUUUGCUUGUCUUAUUCUUGGUUUUAAAUAUGUUGGACAGAGAAAAGGGAGAAUCGCAGGGAAACUUCACUUCAGGUAAUAUUUAUCGUUGAGGGUCACUUUAGUCAUGCAACUAACGCUUAUCUUCUGUUUAGAGCUCUUCCUCUAGCAUGUGAAGUUAUAUGGUGAACUGACACCUUCAAGCAAAGCAGAUAUACAGGUUAUGGUUGAUGCUUUUAUCGAUGAGGGUGAUGUCUGGAGACAAGGACACGCUUCGCUUCUUCUCUGUGGUAACAUCUUCAAGGGUUCUGUUCUUCCUCUGAACUCUUCUUACUCUCUCAUUUUCCUAAUUACAUGUGAUUUACUUGUUUCUCUGUUCUUCCUCUUAACUCUUCUUUUACACUCCGUUUAUUUUUUUCUUUCUUAUGAAUUUGUUCAUGUGAUUUAGUUGUUACUCUGUUAUUCCCCUUUUUAUGAAUUGCAAUAAUACAAUUAAUCAUUUUCCUUUUU